rnacentral:misc_RNA from 1 species
GAUGAAGAACGUAGCGAAAUGCGACAAGUAAUGUGAAUUGCAGAAUUCCGUGAAUCAUCGAAUCUUUGAACGCACAUUGCGCCCGCCAGUAUUCUGGCGGGCAUGCCUGUUCGAGCGUCAUUUCAACCAUCAAGCCCCCGGCUUGUGUUGGGGACCUGCGGCUGCCGCAGGCCCUGAAAAGCAGUGGCGGGCUCGCUGUCACACCGAGCGUAGUAGCAUACAUCUCGCUCUGGGCGUGCUGCGGGUUCCGGCCGUUAAACCACCUUCAUAACCCAAGGUUGACCUCGGAUCAGGUAGGAAGACCCGCUGAACUUAAGCAUAUCAAUAAGCGGAGGA